GGAAGCGUUUCGUCACCGGUGUGGCGCUUGGUCUUCAAAACCAAUGUACGGCAGUGAUGUCGUAGGCAGGUUCGACUCCUGUACGCUUCCGCCA
rnacentral:tRNA from 1 species